ACAAAAUGAACCAAGCUGCGACCGCGUGAAAGAAUACUGGCAGCUGUAAAAACGCAUUACAUUACAUUUGUAUGCUACUACUAAAUAUUGCAGAACACAGAAGGCGUGUCAGGGCAGUAAUAGCUUUCUUUGAAAGCACUGCCGUUUUUCCCUGGGGCACGUUCAAGUUCAGACUGGUGCCCAACGUUUUGCUACGGUUUCAACGACAUGUUUCCUGCAACGGGGUUUGAGAAACGUUUUCUGUUGUUUGCGGCUAAUGAACCGGAAGUCUCACCCAUAGGCUUACUUCCGCAUUGAAGAAAAAGGUGGAUAGAUCUGGAACCUCUGCAUCUCUCUCUUGUCUCCGGCUGAGCUGAACCUGGAUGGAGCCCAGAGGCUUCAGAUAUUGAUCACCAGCUAGAAAGGAAAGUGACCUUCAAAAACUCUAUCUUCAACUCGGCGGAUGAUUCACUGCCUUUGAACAGGCCGCUUAAAGAGAUGUAAUUAAUGCGGAAACUUGUGUGCCGGCAGCAUUUGAUUACCUGGAAUAGACCAGGGGAGCCCAAGGCCUGCUGGGAUGUUUCUGCCCGAUCAAGAGCAGCACAUCGUUUCUCAUCACGCUGUGUGAAACAGGCCUACAGACUGAACGGUGGCUCAAAACCACCGUUAAAAUAACCGGAUAAAGUCUUGAUGGACGACGAUUGUAAUCAAGUAGUUCCACGAUGGCUCCUUCAGAUCCAGAGACCCUCUGCUGCUCAAACUCCUCUCUGCUGAUCUGUCUGCAGAACGAGUGAGGUGGAGACACCAUGGAGGUGUCCGUGUCUGCACCCGCGUACUUUAUCUUGAAGAA